rnacentral:rRNA from 1 species
UACGGAGAGUGCAAGCGUUACUCGGAAUCACUGGGCAUAAAGAGCACGUAGGUGGAAGAUCGUGUCGGUCGUGAAAUCCCUCGGCUCAACCGGGGAACUGCGUCCGAAACUGUUCUUCUCGAGGACGAGAGGGGAGAGCGGAACUUCUGGUGGAGCGGUGAAAUGCGUAGAUAUCAGAAGGAACACCGGUGGCGAAAGCGGCUCUCUGGCUCGUUUCUGACACUGAGGUGCGAAAGCGUGGGUAGCAAACAGG